GGAUGUGUGGGUGAUCUGGUUGUGACAUCUAUCACCCCAUUGAUUGCCAGGGUGGAUUCAGCUGAUCUGGCUGGCUAGGUGGGUGACCCCUUCCUUCCUCAUUGCUCCUUGUGCAUCCCUCCCGAAGCUGUGCACUUGGUCAAAGAGGACGACUAUCCCCAAUAGAGGAGGACUGGUCUCAGUCAAGGGUAUACCAGUAGCUGUGCUCCCCUGCUAGAACAUCCAAACAA
rnacentral:lncRNA from 1 species